CAGUCGCCGCGGGAAUACGAAGGUCCCAAGCGUUGUUCGGAAUCACUGGGCGUAAAGGGAGCGUAGGCGGCGUGGUAAGUCAGAUGUGAAAUCCCGGGGCUCAACCCCGGAACUGCAUCCGAUACUGCCAUGCUUGAGGGUUGGAGAGGUAGCUGGAAUUCUCGGUGUAGCAGUGGAAUGCGUGGAUAUCGAGAGGAACACUCGUGGCGAAGGCGAGCUACUGGACAACAUCUGACGCUGAGGCUCGAAGGCUAGGGUAGCGAAAGGGAUUAGAUACCCCCGUAGUCCCUGUCUCUUAUAC
rnacentral:rRNA from 1 species